ACUUCUCCCAAGCUUAUUUUAUAAGCCUGCUCAGGUCACUGAUGUUUAAUUUUAAGGCAUGCCCCGCCCCCUACAGUUCAGGAAGGCUGGUCUAAAAGCUUUGCUCUGUAUGAAACACAAAGAUGGGAUGUUAUGUUCAUCUCCCUCCCCCAAUUUCUUUCACAGCUGCUCUCUGAAGAAGAAACAAGGAGAUAUUGUUCGUGUGUGUGUGAGAGAGAGGGAAAGACAAAGUGUAUUUCAUUCAAAACAUCUUUUUUUGCUGUGUGGAUUUUCUAAUUUAAUUUUCUCAGUCAGAAUGCACUUUAAGUUCCAGUAAGGAGAGUUGCAACAUGUGUUCAAACAUCUGUUAUUUAUUUUUCAUUUUUUGGGUAAAUGAAAAAGCAACAAACCCCGUUUCCCGAAAAUGGAGCCUGAAUUCCACCCAUGUGGUCCUUGGCCUAGAAUGUGACACAGCCACGGAGUGAAGGUUAGGAAUGAGAGCUGGCUUUCUAUGUGAUCCUGGGCAAGCCACCCACAUCUCAGAGCUUCAGUCUCCCCACUGUGAAGGACAGACUGUCAUUUCUAUCUCCACCNNNNNNNNNNNNNNNNNNNNNNNNNNNNNNAACGCCAAGACAUCUUCUGCAGCUCCUCUCUCUGUGCCUUGGAUGACCCUCCCAGCUACAAAUUCUAGGCAGUCUGUUCUGCUUGGGCAGGUGUUACUUUGUUCUCAAGCCCAUCACACCAUGCAGACAUCACCUUCUCCUUCUGGAGACUAGCACAUCCUUCAGGGUAGGUUUGUCUUUUUGUCCCUGGUAAAUUGCAUAAUGCCUGGCACAUAAUAAGUGCUUACUAAACGUUAUUGGAUGACUGAAUGUUUAAUUCUCAUUAUUUGUGGGGGAUGACCACAUGUCUCCUGAUUUAUCCAGAUGCCCUCUUUCCUUCCUGUUCCUUUGUGGCUAUUUCCUUUAUCACUANNNNNNNNNNNNNNNNNNNNNNNNNNNNNNNNNNNNNNNNNNNNNNNNNNNNNNNNNNNNNNNNNNNNNNNNNNNNNNNNNNNNNNNNNNNNNNNNNNNCUAUUUCCUUUAUCACUAGGAGCUGGAACCAGUUGUGAACUGAAGGAUGCCAAGCAUCUGCUGAACAGCAAGAAAACAGUCAAACUGGUGAAAACUGCAGCUCGACAUGGCACGGGGGGAGGACCCCAGAAUCGGAAGGCAGGAGGCCUGAAAUCCAGGAUGAAUCCUUUCAGACUGGCUAUGAACAUCACGUAUUACCUGAGUUGGAAAUGCUGUCCAGUGAGAAUCAUUUCCCUGGUCAGGGGUUCCCAGUGACCCUGUAAUAAGUCACAACUGUCCCCAGAGUGUAAGCGCCCUGAAUUUAAUCUUUUUGUGUCCCCUCAGUGUGCUAAGCAACGUGCUAUGCACCCAGCAGGAGAAUCAGUACUUAAGUGAUGCUUUUAUACAAAAGCUACCCAUAUGUGCCAAGUCAGCUUUUAAAGAUUGGGGCCUGAAGUGUGGACUCGGGACACAGAUUCCCCAGCAGGGAGCUAGUGGUCUUCUAAUGUUUGUCAUGAUAUUUUCAGGUCAAGGAACUGGUUUUGGAUCCAGAGGAACAAUGCCCCUCGUGUUUGAAAUUCUACAGAAGAGAGGAAGAACUCAGACAGAAAGCUAAGAAAUGAACCGAUGUGAUGAAAAACAGAUGAAAGCCCCUUUCUUCUUAAACGAGGACAUUGCUUUCAAAACAAGCAAGGACACUGUGUUGGGAAAUUUCAAGUUCUGCUUACUGUUUUGCUCUUAGGGCAAUUUUGAUAAAUAAGAUCCCAUUGUGAUUCGUUGGCUUUUCCAAAUUUGCUGUAAGCUCCUUUAGCUUGGUGGUGGUAGGUUGAUAGGUUAUGAAGAAAACAGGAAGAGAAAUCCAGGCUAAAAUGCUUUUUUAAGAGUUAGUGCCCUUGAGGGCACCACUUGAUUCAGCUUCUACAUCUUUCCAUGUAUCCUAUUAUUUCUGAACUCACUUUGCCUAUAUGUUCUCAAAAUACCUAAAAAUAAACACUCGUUACUAGAUGGCACUAAAUUUCAUUUUAAAUUUUAAAAGAGGAAAAAAGUUAGUGCCUUUUAUCCUGGAAUCUGAUAUUUCUUCAUGGGUCAGAAUAUCUAGAGUUUCUGGGGUUCAUCAAUGUCCAGGAAAUUAAGCGCUAAACCUUUCACAGAUUUCUGCUAUAAAGAUUUUUACAAACAUGCACUGAUGGAAAGGCUCGGUUAUCACCUCUAAAGACAGUGGUGUUCCUCAGCCUUACUGUCUGGCCCUGAUUAGCACAGACAUAAAUAGUAUAGGCCUCUGGUGUGGCCUUGUCACGAUUCACUCUCUUGGCUAUUAAUGGCCUUUACCUGACAUAGAGCAAAUGACCUGUCAGGGAUCAAGUGAAUAAAAGAAAUCAUACAUAUUCAAGCAAAAGGAGAAAAAAUAUAGGCACAUGUAAAGUUCUAACCCAAGGUUACCCAGCCUACUGCUCUCAGCCAGAAAAUGUCACCGUCUUUCCUCCCAUGAGGCAUUACUGUGUGGAAAGCACAUAAAUAUCAUCAUUAGAGUCUGUCCUGGGGUAGUGGGGCAAUUCUGACAGAGGAACCGUAGCCCAAGACCCCACUCUUGCACAGGUAUUCCUGUGACCUGGCUUCCAUCCUGGACUUGGACACCAAGGCCUGGAUCACCACCCCUCCAUAAUUGCAGCAGGAGCUCAAGGAGUCUCAGCUCAAAGCUCAACAUUUAUUGCAUGAAGCACUUUGAAAAUCUUUUGUUAUCAAAAGUUUUCCCUUGAGCCUUGGAGAGGAUUACCAAGUAAUGCUUUCUUCCUGCAGCUUAUUUCUUAGGAAAUUACCUCCAGGCCUGCCAAAGUCACAAAGAGCUGUGGGAUUUCACUCGUGUCUUUGCACAUGGAACACUUGGACAUUCCUCAUGAUUUUUUUCACUCCUGUUUACUGAAGAAAAAACAGAAGAUCUGGGAAAGAGAGGCUGCCUGCCUCUGGUCUCUUGUCUGCCCUGGUGGCAAGCA
rnacentral:lncRNA from 1 species